rnacentral:rRNA from 1 species
GAUGAACGCUGGCGGCGUGCCUAAUACAUGCAAGUCGAGCGAACAGAUGAGGAGCUUGCUCCUCUGACGUUAGCGGCGGACGGGUGAGUAACACGUGGAUAACCUACCUAUAAGACUGGGAUAACUUCGGGAAACCGGAGCUAAUACCGGAUAAUAUAUUGAACCGCAUGGUUCAAUAGUGAAAGACGGUUUUGCUGUCACUUAUAGAUGGAUCCGCGCCGCAUUAGCUAGUUGGUAAGGUAACGGCUUACCAAGGCAACGAUGCGUAGCCGACCUGAGAGGGUGAUCGGCCACACUGGAACUGAGACACGGUCCAGACUCCUACGGGAGGCAGCAGUAGGGAAUCUUCCGCAAUGGGCGAAAGCUUGACGGAGCAACGCCGCGUGAGUGAUGAAGGUCUUCGGAUCGUAAAACUCUGUUAUUAGGGAAGAACAAAUGUGUAAGUAACUAUGCACGUCUUGACGGUACCUAAUCAGAAAGCUACGGCUAACUACGUG